AUACGUAGGGGGCGAGCGUUGUCCGGAAUGAUUGGGCGUAAAGGGCGCGUAGGCGGCGCGGUAAGUCUGGAGUGAAAGUCCUGCUUUCAAGGUGGGAAUUGCUUUGGAUACUGCCGCGCUUGAGUGCAGGAGAGGUUAUCGGAAUUCCCGGUGUAGCGGUGAAAUGCGUAGAGAUCGGGAGGAACACCAGUGGCGAAGGCGGGUAACUGGACUGCAACUGACGCUGAGGCGCGAAAGUGUGGGGAGCAAACAGGAUUAGAUACCCUGGUAGUCCACACUGUAAACGAUGAAUGCUAGGUGUAAGAGGUAUCGACCCCUUUUGUGCCGGAGUCAACACAAUAAGCAUUCCGCCUGGGGAGUACGACCGCAAGGUUGAAACUCAAAUGAAUUGACGGGG
rnacentral:rRNA from 1 species